GUCGGGGGGCGGUCGGGGGCCGGUCGGGGCGCCGGGGGCCCGCGGCCGCCGCCGAAUUUGGGCUGAGAGCCGGCGACGGCCCCGCGCCGCGGUUGCAGGUGCCGGGACCUGCAGAGUUGCUGGAUGGUCUUCCGAAUGUCGCCAAGCUGAAGCAACGUGUUCUGGUCAGACCCGUGGCCCUCAGGACCGGACCCCCUACUACCUGCCUCUUGAGGGCCACUGCUGGGAACUCAAGGAAGACAGAUUUGGCUUUUCUGCACAUUUCUACCACUCAGCAAGAAUGCCAAGAACCCACUUGUGCCCAGCGGUGUGCCCUCCUGGAGGUGGGGGCACCCGGCCGAGCCCCCAGCCUGUCUGCUGCCGGGCCUGCUUUCUCUGCUGGGGUUCUUCUUUUUUUUUUUUUUUUUUAAUAUUUUAUUUAUUUAGUUGACUAAGAGAUCACAAGUAGGCAGAGAGAGAGGGAAGCAGGCUCCCUGCUGAGCAGAGAGCCCGCGGGACUCAAUCCCAGGAUCCUGAGAUCUAGACCUGAGCCGAAGGCAGAGGCUUAACCCACCGAGCCACCCAGGCGCCCCUCUGCUGGGGUUCUCAACCCACUGUGAAGAUCUGCUGGUCGGAAAGCAUGGCCUGAGCAGCCUCCAGGCAUGCAGAGGCCAGGAUGCCUGCCACAGGCCCUGUCUCCUCCCCAGAUGGUGGGCGUUGAUGGCUGGCACUGGGUCCACCAUUGUCAGAGCAGCGUGAGGGACAGGCAGCCUGAAUUGAGGCCUUGCAUGGACUUGGACUCACCUUUGGAGGGACACUGUCGUAAAGGUCACUGUGGUGCCCUGAGGGUCACACCUAGCAGGCUUGGCAGGACAGGUUCUGCCGGCAGCAGGGAGGUUGUGGGUGGCCCUUGGGGUUGAGAACCAAUGGUGCCAGUUGCCUGCCACAAGGCAGUGACUUGCUGUGGGUGACCCUCAGGGAGCCCCAGUGUUCCAGCCAGCCCACAAGAGUACUUUUGUACUGGAGGUGAGCAGGAGGGGCUCCAGUGCCAUCCCCCUGCACAGUCUGGCCCUACAGAGACAUUGAUGAUGACUGGGUCCUGUCUCACCUUGGCCAGGGAGCUGGGCUGACCUGGCUUGGUCCUGCCCUGCCAUGGCCUGGAUGUGUGUGUCUGGCGGGAGUGGGGAGCUGGGUCUCCUUGGCUCAGCAUAGCUCACAUCGUUGUUUUCAAAGAGCAGCUUAAAGCUCCGAAGUAAACUUCUCAACAGCC